rnacentral:rRNA from 1 species
AACGAACGCUGGCGGCAGGCCUAACACAUGCAAGUCGAGCGCUGUAGCAAUACAGAGCGGCGCACGGGUGAGUAACACGUGGGAACGUGCCCUUCGGUUCGGAAUAACUCAGGGAAACUUUGAGCUAAUACCGGAUACGUCCUUUGGGAGAAAGAUUUAUACGCCGAGGGAGCGGCCCGCGUAGGAUUAGCUAGUUGGUGAGGUAAUGGCUCACCAAGGCUCCGAU